GACGUAGGUGGCGAACGUUAUCCGGAAUUAUUGGGCGUAAAGGGUGCGUAGGUGGCCUGACAAGUUAUCAGUGGCAAAUCGAGGCUCAACCUCGUGGAAACUGGUAAUACUGUCCGGCUUGAGUACAGGAGAGGUUAACGGAACUCUAUGUGGAGCGGUAAAAUGCACAGAUAUAUAGAAGAACAUCAAUAAAGGCGAAGGCAGUUAACUAUUCUGUUACUGACGUUGAGGCACGAAAGCGUGGGGAGCAAACAGG
rnacentral:rRNA from 1 species